rnacentral:rRNA from 1 species
GAGUAUUAGUAGUUAAGGUCUUGAAACUUAAAGAAUUUGGCGGUAUUAUAGUCUAUUUAGAGGAAUCUGUUACGUAAUCGAUAAUCCACGUUGAACCUUACUUAUAUUAUUUCUUGUAUACCGCUGUUUUAGGAUAUACUUUUAGGUAAUUUUCUUAAUAUAAUAUUAAUUAAAAUUUCAGGUCAAGGUGCAGUUAUAUAUAAGUUGAAUAAUGGAUUACAAUAAAUUUUAUUUAUUAUGAAUUGUUAUUGAAAUAUAAUUUGAAGGUGGAUUUAAUUGUAAUUUUAUAAAGAUUAUUAAAAUGAUUAAUAGCUCUAUAAUAUGUACACAUCGCCCGUCGCUCUU